ensembl:lncRNA
GUUUUUCUAGAGAUCCUUUAUCCUCUCCCCAACAAACACUUUUGGAGGAGCUUUCAUGUACCAACCUAGUGUCUUCUUAUACAGGCUUCCUGUUAUGGGAUCCACAUAUGAAAAGAUAGAGGCAUGGGUUGAAUGUCCUUGCUGUACACAGAAAAAUAUUCCCAGCCAGAGAAUACAAACAACAGCAUCACAAAUUUAGAGCAUGGAAGAGGCCACCUGACCCAAAUUUUGCUUUGCCAUUCUGCUUGUGGCAGAAGAACAAAGGUUGUUAAAUACUUAAUUACCCGGAUGGUACACAUGGCUGAUGGAUUGACUUGGAUCAACGCAGUUGUAAUUAUUUCACCACAGUGUGGCUGACUAAGAUGGAUACUUGGACUUCACUCAAUGGUUUUCAACAUUCCACCAGAAAUAAACAGAGCACAGACUAUUCUCAAUAUGUUUAUGCAUCACUAACUUAUAUUAGUUUUGGAAACUGUGAAAUUUAUGCCAAUUGUUUGUAAAACAGAAUACAGUUUUGAUUUUUUUUUUCUUGUCCCGCAGCCCAGAAUCAAUAUGUGUACAAUUUCCAUCCUCCUUACAUUACGUACUAUUCCUAAGAGCUGAGGCCAAGAAAUAAAUUGACCUAAUUCUUUUUCUCCAUCAAAAUUGUGGGUUAUCCUGUCCCUUCUACAUGGAUUUUGCAGAAAAAAAUUAAGACAUAAAUCCAGGUCUCAGUUUCUUUGGACAAAUAUACACAGAAUCAAAAGUUUGACUAAGAGCAAAGCAGGUGAAGACACUGACACAAAAUUUGAAUUCAUAUGCUAAUAUAUUUCUACAAAACCUAGAAAUAGGUGGGCACAUGUAAGCUCCAGCUCCAGUGCAAUGCCUGACUACAGGUUGGCUCAUAGGAACAGUGCUAUACUAAUGACAAUAAAUGUCUCCCAAUCAGGAAUCAGUCAUGUAGAACCAGCUCACGGGUCCAGCAAAUGACAGAGCUAUGGUAUGUGAGCAUUUCUAAAUCCUUGUCUGCAUUUAGUUCUCUUUUAGAAGUACCCUCUAGAAGCAAUGGUAGGGAUACUGGAAAAGACAUGAAAACAUUGAUCUUUGUCCCUCCUUCCCUCCAUGUCUUCCAACCUUUGGUCUGAAAAGGAUGAUGAAAGUCCUGUUACGUUGUGGAUACCGAUGUCUUCACUGUGGCAACCAGCAGGACAGAUGUUACAGUGCUGUUUGAUGGCAGCACAAUUAAAGAAAAUAUUUGACAUGGAUGUGACCACAGAACUACAGCAAGCUGUGAAGUACAGGCUAGAGUUCAUUAAAAAGUCUUUACAUUUU